UACGUAGGGGGCAAGCGUUGUCCGGAUUUAUUGGGCGUAAAGAGCGUGUAGGCGGCCAGGUAGGUCCGUUGUGAAAACUGGAGGCUUAACCUCCAGCUGUCGAUGGAAACCAUCUGGCUAGAGUCCGGAAGAGGAGAGUGGAAUUCCUGGUGUAGCGGUGAAAUGCGCAGAUAUCAGGAAGAACACCCGUGGCGAAGGCGGCGACCUGGACAGAUAUUGACGCUGAGGUGCGAAAGCGUGGGGAGCAAACAGG
rnacentral:rRNA from 1 species